rnacentral:rRNA from 1 species
CCCCUGUGAACAUACCACUUGUUGCCUCGGCGGAUCAGCCCGCUCCCGGUAAAACGGGACGGCCCGCCAGAGGACCCCUAAACUCUGUUUCUAUAUGUAACUUCUGAGUAAAACCAUAAAUAAAUCAAAACUUUCAACAACGGAUCUCUUGGUUCUGGCAUCGAUGAAGAACGCAGCAAAAUGCGAUAAGUAAUGUGAAUUGCAGAAUUCAGUGAAUCAUCGAAUCUUUGAACGCACAUUGCGCCCGCCAGUAUUCUGGCGGGCAUGCCUGUUCGAGCGUCAUUUCAACCCUCAAGCACAGCUUGGUGUUGGGACUCGCGUUAAUUCGCGUUCCUCAAAUUGAUUGGCGGUCACGUCGAGCUUCCAUAGCGUAGUAGUAAAACCCUCGUUACUGGUAAUCGUCGCGGCCACGCCGUUAAACCCCAACUUCUGAAUGUUGACCUCGGAUCAGGUAGGAAUACCCGCUGAACUUAAAACAUAUCAAU